rnacentral:rRNA from 1 species
CGUAGAGAUCAUAUCGACUUGUCAAAGCCUAAUCUCAUCUGAUCUCAAAAGCUAAGCAGGACUGGGUCUGGUUAGUGGACGGGAAACCGCUGGGAAUACCAGAUGCCACAGUGA